GACGAACGCUGGCGGCGUGCUUAACACAUGCAAGUCGAACGACAAGAGGGAAAGAGCUUGCUCUUUCCGGAAUUGAGUGGCAAACGGGUGAGUAACACGUCAACAACCAGCCUUUCGGAUGGGGUCAACAGACGGAAACGACUGCUAAUCCCGAUACAGUUCCAAGAGCCGCAUGGCCCAUGGUAGAACAGGUGGCCUCUGCCUGUAAGCUAUCGCCAGUAGCGGGGUUUGCGUCUGAUUGGCUGGCUGGAGGGGUAACGGUCCACCAAGGCGACGAUCAGGAGGCGGGCUUGGGAGAUGAACGAGCACACUUGAAAUGAGACACGGGCCAGAACCCCACGGGAGGCAGCAGGGGGGAAUCUUCCGCAAUGGGGGGAAGCCUGACGGAAGAACGACGGGGGAGGGAUGACGGCCUUCGGGUUGGAAAACUCUGUGAUCCGGGACGAAAAGGCAGAGUGCGAAUAACAAGCUGCAUUGACGGUACCGGAAAAGCAAGCCACGGCUAACUACGUG
rnacentral:rRNA from 1 species